UACAGAGGUCCCAAGCGUUGUUCGGAUUCACUGGGCGUAAAGCGCACGUAGGUGGCGACGUAAGUCGGGUGUGAAAGCCCCGGGCUCAACCUGGGAAUUGCAUUCGAGACUGCAUUGCUGGAGUACGGAAGAGGAAGGCGGAAUUCCCGGUGUAGCGGUGAAAUGCGUAGAUAUCGGGAGGAACAUCAGUGGCGAAGGCGGCCUUCUGGUCCAGUACUGACACUCAAGUGCGAAAGCGUGGGGAGCAAACAGG
rnacentral:rRNA from 1 species